rnacentral:rRNA from 1 species
AACGAACGCUGGCGGCAUGCCUAACACAUGCAAGUCGAACGAGACCUUCGGGUCUAGUGGCGCACGGGUGCGUAACGCGUGGGAAUCUGCCCCUUGGUUCGGAAUAACUUCGGGAAACUGAAGCUAAUACCGGAUAAUGACGUAAGUCCAAAGAUUUAUCGCCAAGGGAUGAGCCCGCGUAGGAUUAGCUAGUUGGUGGGGUAAAGGCUCACCAAGGCGACGAUCCUUAGCUGGUCUGAGAGGAUGAUCAGCCACACUGGGACUGAGACACGGCCCAGACUCCUACGGGAGGCAGCAGUGGGGGAAUAUUGGACAAUGGGCGAAAGCCUGAUCCAGCAAUGCCGCGUGAGUGAUGAAGGCCUUAGGGUUGUAAAGCUCUUUUACCCGGGAAGAUAAUGACUGUACCGGGAGAAUAAGCCCGGCUAACUCCGUGCCAGCAGCCGCGGUAAU